rnacentral:rRNA from 1 species
CCUACGGGAGGCAGCAGUGAGGAAUCUUCCGCAAUGGGCGAAAGCCUGACGGAGCGACGCCGCGUGUGGGAUGAAGUCCUUCGGGAUGUAACCACUGUUGGUGGGGAAGACAUCGACGGUACCCACCGAGAAAGCCCCGGCUAACUACGUGCCAGCAGCCGCGGUAAU